rnacentral:rRNA from 1 species
GGGGGCCGCAAGGCUCCCGCUCGUGGAGGGGUUCGCGCACCAUCAGCUUGUUGGCGGGGUAACGGCCCACCAAGGCCUACGGUUAGCUGGUCUGAGAGGAUGACCAGCCCCACUGGGACUGAGAUACUGCCCAGACUCCUACGGGAGGCUGCAGUCGAGGAUCAUUUGCAAUGGGCGAAAGCCUGACAAUGCGACGCUGCGUGGAGGAUGAAGGCCUUCGGGUUGUAAACUCCUGUCAUAGGGGAACAGGCGGACUUACCUAAUACGUAAGCGAGUUGAGUGUACCCUAAGAGGAAUUGGCGGCUAACUCUGUGCCAGCAGCCGCGGUAAUACAGAGGCCAAGAGCGUUGUUCGGAUUUACUGGGCGUAAAGGGCGCGUAGGCGGUCUUGCGUGUCAAGUGUGAAAUCUCCGGGCCUCAACCCGGAAAGUGCGCUUGAAACUACAGGACUCGAGUCUGGGAGAGGGAAUCGGAAUGCAGGGUGUAGCGGUGAAAUGCGUUGAUAUCCUGCCAAACACCCGAGGCGAAGGGCGGAUUCCUUGAACAGCACUGACGCUGAGGCGCGAAAGUCGGGGGGAGCAAACAGGAUUAGAUACCCCGGUAGUCCCGACCUUAAACGGUGCACACUCGGGGUGGGGCCAUUUCACCGGUCCCGUCCCUUAGCUAACGCGUUAAGUGUGCCGCCUGGGGAGUACGGCCGCAAGGCUAAAACUCAAAGAAAUUGACGGGGGCCCGCACAAGCAGAGGAGCAUGUGGCUUAAUUCGAUGCAACGCGAAGAACCUUACCUGGAUUUGACAUCGUCGGCAAUGCCCUAUGAAAGUAGGGCGGAGGUUAUCCGAUAGACAGGUGCUGCAUGGCUGUCGUCAGUUCGUGCCGUGAGGUGUUUGGUUAAGUCCACCAACGAACGCAACCCCUUUGGUAUGUUGCCAUCAGGUAAUGCUGGGAACUCGUACCAUACUGCCUGUUUACGCAGGAGGAAGGUGGGGAUGACGUCAAGUCAGUAUGGCCCUUACAUCCAGGGCUGCACACGCGCUACAAUGGCCGGUACAGAGGGACGCGAGACCGCAAGGUGGAGCCAAUCCCAGAGAGCCGGCCUCAGUUCAGAUCGGGGUCUGCAACCCGACCCCGUGAAGUCGGAUUUGCUAGUAACGGCGUAUCAGCUACGACGCCGUGAAUGCGUUCCCGGGCCUUGUACACACCGCCGGUCA